ACCUGAUGCAGCGACGCCGCGUGAGUGAAGAAGUAUUUCGGUAUGUAAAGCUCUAUCUUUUGGGAAGAAAAUGACGGUACCUGAUUAAGAAGCCCCGGCUAACUACGUGCCAGCAGCCGCGGUAAUACAAAAA
rnacentral:rRNA from 1 species